UACGAGUGCCCCAAGCGUUAUCCGGAAUCAUUGGGCGUAAAGGGUGUGUAGGCGGCGUGUUUAGUCUUCUGUUAAACCUUCUGGCUCAACCAGAAACUUGCAGAGGAAACGGUCAUGCUCGAGGGUGCGAGAGGUGAAUGGAACUCAUGGAGUAGGGGUGAAAUCCGUUGAUAUCAUGGGGAACACCAAAAGCGAAGGCAAUUCACUGGCGCAUUCCUGACACUGAAACACGAAAGCGUGGGUAGCGAACGGG
rnacentral:rRNA from 1 species